GAGCAUCAACCUUUUAUACAACCGUUCACUCAACCUUUUAUACAACAAACGUUUUUAUUGACUGACCAGGCAUGGUGUUGGAAGACGAGAAGAAACUAAAGAACAGCCUAGUGUCUUUGCCUAUGAGGAAACAUGCCAGCCCAGCAGAGAAACCAGAGGCACAAGUUUGGCCUCAGAGUGCAGCAUGGGGUGACUGUGGCACACAUCACAUACUGUCAGUAUGUGACCUUCAGAGAUGGGGACCAAGGAACAAGAAACAACUGACCUGCAGUUCCUCAGCUCUAGUCUACAUCUAAACACAAAUGGAAACACAGGUGCUGACUCCCAAGCCCAGAUCUACAUCUCUAUUCCAUGACAACUCUUUCCGAUCCUUUCUUCCCAACUGAAACCCAAAAACUUCUCCUCAGCCAUAUAGUGAGUCUCUCUCUAAAAAUUAAAGAGAAUGAUGUAACAAACUUGAACAUGAACUAUGACAGUGAUGGCAAGAAGGGAGUUGGUCUGUGUGAGAAGUACAUAUUCAAGGUAUCUGGUGCUACAACUCCGUCAACCUCCC
rnacentral:lncRNA from 14 species